rnacentral:ribozyme from 1 species
CGCACAAAGUGCCAAACAAUUGUGGUUUCAGCAACGCAUUUAAUACUGGGGGGUGAUUAAUGCCCCAAGUUGUUU